rnacentral:tRNA from 1 species
GCGAGAUAGCUCAGUUGGUAGAGCAGGGGACUGAAAAUCCCCGUGUCAUCGGUUCGAUUCCGAUUCUCGCC